CGGCUUUCUCCACCGCGCAGGCGCGGAGAGGGAGCCAAGAUGGCGGCGCCCGUGGAUCUGGAGUUGAAGAAGGCCUUCACAGAGCUUCAAGCUAAAGUUAUUGACACUCAACAGAAGGUGAAGCUUGCAGACAUACAGAUUGAACAGCUAAACAGAACGAAAAAGCAUGCCCAUCUUACAGAUACAGAGAUUAUGACUUUGGUAGACGAGACUAACAUGUAUGAAGGUGUAGGAAGAAUGUUUAUUCUUCAGUCCAAGGAGGUAAUUCACAAUCAGCUGUUAGAGAAACAGAAAAUAGCAGAGGAAAAAAUUAAAGAAUUGGAAGAUACAUUCCCAGGGAUCCUUGAUUUGCUUCCUUGGACUACUUGUCUUACCCACACCAGACUAUCCCUUUGAAUGCUUCAGAGGCUUGUUGAAUUCAACCUUCGAUACUGCCUGCUUUAUAUGCAGAAAAAAUCCUACCUGGAGCGCAGCGUGAAGGAAGCUGAGGACAACAUCCGGGAGAUGCUGAUGGCACGAAGGGCACAGUAGGAAGCCUCUAGGGAAGCUCUCCCUCCUGACCCCUCCCAUUCCUGGCAAGGACAAGGGGCUUGUGUAGGGAGAUAGCGUCUGCUAUACCCUGGUGGACGUUUUAUCUGGAUGGCCUGGUAACCCUGUGUUUUCUACAUCACCCUGAGCCCCUUUCAAAUCCCAAGCCCUUAUUUUUUAUCCUGGCUUUGCCUAAGACAUUCUUCUCCCCUGGGGGUGAGUCCUGAACUCCCAGGAGAGGGGAGAGGGGAGCCAGGACAGGUAGGGGAGCUCUGCCCUUGCCCCCUACUAGUCAUGCUGGUCAGACCAAUAAAAGGCAUCUGUGCCACUCUGCUAAGUUUGCUUUUCUUGAGCCGCUGGAUGAGAACAGAGAGGCAGAGGCUGUCUCUACCUGAGCUCCUCCCUGGCCCUCUCUAGGGCUGGGGCCCUGCUCCUUCUGCAUCGAAGUCUUCCCCACUUCUUUUUUCCUCUCUGAUCCUUCAAGUAAACCCUUCAAGCUCACAGCCUCCAUGGAAUGUGCAAGUAGGAAAGAAAGGAGACCAGGGCAUAGCUGAAUUUUAAGUGAGGACAGCAGUCCUUGGUGGCAGGAUGCCUACAGAUUCCUUUCCUGCUUUUUCCCAAACAUCCCAUAUAAGCCAGCAGCACCUCCAAGACUGUCUCCCUUUGGUCAUAAGGUGGACACUGUAAUUCUGAGGCCUCCUAGAGGCUCAGGGGCAGUGGUGUGUUGGAGCUGGCUUAUACUGGCUCAGGAGCGCCAGUGACUCAAUUGUCGAAUUUUGUUGCAAGCCAGUUGUUAAACACAGCCAUUAUUAAAAAUUAAGUUAUGUAACUUUACAAUUAAAUUAUUAAAGAACAAGGGUAAUAAAUAUUCAAAACAUCUCUCUAGUAA